AGAGGCAACUGUACAAUCUUGAUCUGAAGCUUGUACAGUUAAGGCUCUGUUCUGUCGUGUGUGCUUACACAAUAUACAGUCCGUCAUCACGAAGGUCAUCGUCCACAACAGAUAAUCCACGAUUAAUAGCGAAUACUUGCUGAGUGAAGCAGCCCCGCCGGUUCGGGUUGUCUUGCGUCCGAGGCCACCGACUGGCGGCCAGGAGCACGCGGCGCGUGUGGCGGCUGUUGGAGGUCAAGGACGAGGCCAAGUGAAGAACGUUCUCUGGGGGCAGUGAUGUCCUACAGGAGCCGAGGUCUCAUGGGCAUGGGCCUGGUGGCCGUGGGCGCAUGGGCCUCGUGGAUGCUGCUCGGCCCUUCCCCGGAGCGUAGCCGGGACAUCGAGAAGAAAAUCCAGUGCAAUCCAGGCCUGCAAAGCAGAGAAGAAAAGAAGCAACAAGAUGCCAAGAUGAUGGAGGCCAUUCAGGCAGCCGCCUAUACCAAUCGCAACGUGGCCAGAGAUCCCAUCAGACCUUUCAAGGAGUAACAGCCUGCUCUGCCAUUCAUCCAUGACAAGGACUGUAAAGUCCUCAUUCUUAUACACCCCUUGGGGCAAGAUUAAGAUGUCAUUAUGGCCAAAGCCGUUGAUGCCACCAUAUGUUCUACCCUCCUCCAGAUCCUCCAACUGCUGCACAAUAGACAUGCGACCUCCAAGAUCUGCCCUCAGUCUCCUGUCAUAUGGUCUUCAGCCUUCCCCUUGGUCGCUAUACUCAAGGAGACCAUUCCAAUGCCUGUCUUGGAAACCGGCAUUCCCCCACGCUGCACACCUCCCACCCAGCGCAUCCUUUUUGCCUAAUUAUAUCGAGAAAACUUACCCGCCAUGCUCUCUUCUGGACUUUUUUACCACAAGAUUCAUUGAGUUUGCGAUGUUAUUGAAUGCUCUAUUUUGUAUCUGACAUUACAGUAAGAUAAUGGGAGAUAUAUGCCUGCAACACAUUGUUGGUUGUAAUACUGUAUGUUCUUAUAUACAAAAUGUAUAAUGAAUAUUUUUAGAAACAUCUAUGAAUGGUAAUAAUACAGUAAUUUCACUGACAUUUGCUAAUGUUAUCUUUUCCAAUACUUAUUUGAGAUGGAGUCAACGUCACGGGAGGCCCAGGACCAGUUCAGAUAAUCGUCACUGGUGUUGGUGAUGAGCGGGAAUCUAACUCGAUUCACCGGCUUCAUAGCGCAACCCACAAAUGAUCAUCAGUUGGCAUGAUAGACAUGAGCUGAAUAACGAUAAAUUAACUUCAUGAAAAAAAGGCUAAAUAUGCAUUCCCAAUAUGUUCACACAUAGACUAAAUAAGCAGCAUGAAUCUUGUACACCGUCAGCUGUUCACAGAACUGUGACCAAAUUUCUGUUGAAGUCUCAUUUCUACGUGUCGAAGUGAGAGCAAGUUGUUGCUCAAGCAUUGAGGCUAUGCUUAUUUCCAGUUCACAGCCCUGUUACCAGUGGUGGGAAUGUCACUUUCCUAUGGUGGGGGCUAGUCUAUCCAUAAGAUAACCACGGUUCACUUCCUCACAAUGUGGCAAUGUUAUCUUCUCCGGAGGGAUGAGUCAAAUCCCAACCAGGAUUUGAACUCGCGAACACUUAGUCACUUGGACCACCACCACUGUUGAUUCAAGCCAAUCAACUUUUCAUAUUAGUUCAUGGGAUCUGAAAAUAUAUUUCAUGUUGAAAGCACAUUUGGUGGUACAACUUCAGUGUAAGUUUAUUGAUAUGAUCAAUGAAAUGUAAUUAUGCAAUUAACCUUUUCAACGUAAAUGUCUAGUGUAAGGUACAACCCUUGCAAAUGCUUCCUCACGCCACUGCUGGCGGGUGUCCACAAAAGCCCUGAAGGAAAUUUGGCCUACUCUUCUACGCUGCCAAACAUCUUGCACCAAAUACGACCUGCCAAUCGACUGUACUGUACUCAUACUGCUGGGUGAACAGAGGCGAUGGGGAAUAAUAUUUCCCCAUUGUUUCAACUACCGUGCCAGCCGAUCGAAUUGAACUGACGACCUCUCAAAUGGAAGUGCAGUGUACCAAACAUUACACCACAGUAACAUCAUUUCCAAAUAGGUACUGUACUUUACACUCUAAAGCACUUUGACCGACAAAAAAAGAUAAAGUUCUGCUACUUGUUUUUGCAUUGACCCGUCGGUUUUCAACUAGUCUUAAAAUCAAUCCAUAAAAGCGGAACUUAUUUACAUACACAUUGAAAAACAUGCAAACAGAGAAGUUGGUUCACAGAACUGUUAAGCAAUGAUAUUUAAAAAAUGUUAUGUUUAAUGGCUUACUGCUUAUAAUAAAUCAGUACAAAUCAAUGCAACACCUCUACUAAGCGCAUAUGCGAGGUUGCAUGAAGCUUUCGUGACUGCAGAAAUCCAUACUCUGGUUCUUUCGGUAAAGUCACGUAGCUAGAAAAAUUAUAUAUCACGUUUCGAUCUCAAUACAAGCGAUCGAAAUGUGAUAUAUUAUUUUGUUUUAUUUUUCUACCUACGUGACUUUACCGAAAGAACCAAAGAGUAUGAAUUCCUGAGGAUUUGCAUCAAUACUGGAGGCAUCAAAUAACGCUAACGUAUUCUUCUUGCAUGCCAUAGCUACUAAGGUUACUGCGACAUGGCAAUACUAUGAUAUAUUGUAGAAUAUAUACACAUCGAAAAAAAUU